rfam:Gossypium hirsutum cultivar TM-1 chromosome 15, whole genome shotgun sequence
CUCAAUGAAGCGCUUUGCCUACGUGGAUAGAAAGCGUGCCCUCAAAGAAGCGUUUUCUGUCCACGUAGGCAAAGCGCUUCCUUGAGG